rnacentral:lncRNA from 1 species
AUGGUGUCCUGCGUGGCACCGGAAGGAUGCCGUGAGUUUCUCAGGGCCUGUGACCUUCGCAAAGGACUCUGGAACCCCGGCCGCUGCCGCUGCCUCUGCCGCUGCCGCUGCUCCCGGAGGCCGCAGUUCUGUGCCGGUCGGCGUCAGGGAAGAGGACAAGGCGGGAUGUCGCGGCGCGUCCUUUUGGUUCAAGAUUGUUUACGGUUAGCGACCAGCGGGAUGAAAGGAUGGACGCUGAAAGAUAAAGGGAAGCAAAGAUCUCGGGAAGAAAGUGUUGCUGGCCCGGACUCACAAACCUAUGUCACGUUUGUGCUUUAG